GCACUGAUAGCUCAGUUGGUAGAGCAGCUGCUCGACAUGCAGCAGGCCACAGGUUCGAGCCCUGUUCGGUGCA
rnacentral:tRNA from 1 species